rnacentral:rRNA from 1 species
GAUGAACGCUGGCGGCGUGCCUAAUACAUGCAAGUCGAGCGAACAGAUGAGGAGCUUGCUCCUCUGACGUUAGCGGCGGACGGGUGAGUAACACGUGGAUAACCUACCUAUAAGACUGGGAUAACUUCGGGAAACCGGAGCUAAUACCGGAUAAUAUAUUUAACCACAUGGUUCAAUAGUGAAAGACGGUUUUGCUGUCACUUAUAGAUGUAUCCGCGCCGCAUUGGCUAGUUGGUAAGGUAACGGCUUACCAAGGCAACGUUGCGUAGCCGACCUGAGAGGGUGAUCGGCCACACUGGAACUGAGACACGGUCCAGACUCCUACGGGAGGCAGCAGUAGGGAAUCUUCCGCAAUGAGCGAAAGCCUGACGGAGCAACGCCGCGUGAGUGAUGAAGGUCUUCGGAGCGUAAAACUCUGUUAUUAGGGAAGAACAAAUGUGUAAGUAACUAUGCACGUCUUGACGGUACCUAAUCAGAAAGCCACGGCUAACUACGUG